UUCAAUGUGUUGAUUGAGGUCAAGUGUUCAUGCCCUUUUAAAGGAGGUUUUGAUGAUGGCCUGUGGAGAUGGCUGCCGUSUGCAAGGGCCUUGAGUGCUGAUGAUAUUCGUGUCAAUGAGUUUGUCCAAUGCCAGAUUCAGAUGCUGGCUUCAGGUGUGCSGCACUGCCUGCUUGUGAGGUGGAGAGUUAAAGAGUGCAAGGUGUUGUAUGUCCCUUUUGAUGGUGCAUGGUGCAAGCAAAUGCUGAUUGUACUGAGCCAAAUUGUCUUGGCAGCUGUGGCUACCAAUGGGAAGUGCCCACAAUUUUCCAGCAUUUCAGGGCAUGAUGAGUUUGUACGGGAUACAAGGGAGCGAUGCAGCAGGCUUCUGGAGCCUUGCACUGUGCCAAAUGCCAAUGUGUG
rnacentral:lncRNA from 1 species